rnacentral:tRNA from 1 species
GGUAGUGUGGCAGAGUUGUCUAAGGCGCUGGAUUUAGGCUCCAAUCUCAAAAGAGGCAUGGGUUAAAAUCCCACCACUGCCA